AAACACCACCAAACUUUCAUCUUAAAUCAACAUGCAAUUCCAUAAAUAGGUUCCUCUCAUCUCAAGCUCCAAGGUAAGGGUAAUUUUAUAUCAAACAUCCAUGAAUUUCCUUUGAAUUCUUGCUGUGUUCAUCACAUUUUAAGAACUCAAUUAUGAACUUGAUUGCAUGUGUGAGAUCCUGAUGGUGUUCAAGUUUUACAGAGAAGUUAUAGGUAAGAACCAUAAACUUUUUUUCCUUCUUCUAUUCAAGUUAAAACCCAAAACACAAUUCUUCACUUCUUCUCAUUUGGUAAAUUGCAUGUGAGUUUAAUGGAAUUGAGAUUCUCUAGGAAUAUAUCAGAAGCAAUGAACAUGGGUACAAGAUGCAAGCUUUGGAAUUUUGAUCGGUGAUUUUUGAAGAAGUUUGGGUUAAACCCGUGUUCUAGGAUAAGGCUCCACUAAAAAGGCAAAUUCUCACUCCUCGUAACUCUGAUUGAGAUACCGUUUGUUUCUGUGGUUAGCUAACUCAAUUCCGGUCGUUGUGACGCCAAUUUCAUAUUUUUUGAUUAGGAAAUGAGGUCUAGGGACGCGUUUGAAGUUGAGGUACUGAAGCUGUCAAAAUGGUGUUUUGAGGACUACAGGUUUGGGUACUCAAGCGGCACAAAAGGAUGGUUUUAGGCUUGCGAAAUAACGUCGUACUGUUGUUAAAUCUGGUGGGUUCCUUUAAGUAAACUCUCACUUAAUAGAGUAGCUUUAUUAGCUUUUCCCCAAAUUCAUGAUGCAUGUCAACUUAGGAUUUUUAGGAUUAAUUAGGAUAACUCUACUAAUUAAUGAUUUAAACAAGNNNNNNNNNNNNNNNNNNNNNNNNNNNNNNNNCCCUUAGCAUGAUUGAAAUGACUAUAUGUUGUGGAAUUUAGGAUAAACCAGAGUUGCUAGCGGUGGUUUUUGUGUUGAUUUGAUUACACUACUCACUAUUCAAAGAGAUUAGUAAACAUGUUAUUGUUAUGUAGACCUACCUUUAAGAUAUGUUAAUUUAUAGACUUAAUUGAUGAUCUUGCAUUGUGCAAAACAAAGUUAAAGCUUUGAUUUUUAAUGAUGUAUGUUUUGUGGGAUUUGUUUGUUUGUGUUGGACACAG
rnacentral:lncRNA from 1 species